GACGAACGCUGGCGGCGUGCUUAACACAUGCAAGUCGAACGGAAAGGCCCUGCUUUUGUGGGGUGCUCGAGUGGCGAACGGGUGAGUAACACGUGAGUAACCUGCCCUUGACUUUGGGAUAACUUCAGGAAACUGGGGCUAAUACCGGAUAGGAGCUCCUGCUGCAUGGUGGGGGUUGGUAAGUUUCGGCGGUUGGGGAUGGACUCGCGGCUUAUCAGCUUGUUGGUGGGGUAGUGGCUUACCAAGGCUUUGACGGGUAGCCGGCCUGAGAGGGUGACCGGCCACAUUGGGACUGAGAGACGGCCCAGACUCCUACGGGAGGCAGCAGGGGGGAAUAUGGCACAAUGAGCGGAAGCCAGAUGCAGCAACGCCGCGUGCGGGAUGACGGCCUUCGGGUUGUAAACCGCUUUCGCCUGUGACGAAGCGUGAGUGACGGUAAUGGGUAAAGAAGCACCGGCUAACUACGUG
rnacentral:rRNA from 1 species